GUUGAGCAUAGCAUUCUUCCUUUAAUUUUUCAUCUUUUACCAUAUCACUAGGAAGAAUCACUUUGAACUUUCCUUCUUCAUCCAACUCUCCAGCUCCCCUUGUUUUGAACUUUCCAUUUUCCGGCUUGCAGUCGAUGGUUACACGAAGCCCUGAAAGUGCCUGGCUGGUCUGAAUGUUGCUUUCUGCACAGUCUGCACAUUCCCCUAUUCCAAUUACCUCCACUGUAGUACUCUUAUCAUUAUCACCAUAGGAGGAGGUUGCAGAAAACAGUGCAGAUACGUAGAAGCACAGAAGUGCUGCUCGAAAAAGGGGGAGAAUCCCCAUUGGGAAAACACCAAUGCCUCCUAAAAAUAAAGAAAACCAAGAACACCCCACAAAAACCAACUUUUUAGAAGCUUAGAGCUUCUAUUUGUGUUGCUCUAUGGCAGGAG
rnacentral:misc_RNA from 1 species